rnacentral:SRP_RNA from 1 species
GCCGGGCAUGGUGGCGGGUGCCUGUAGUCCCAGCUACUCAGGGGGCUGAGGCAGGAGAAUGGCGUGAACCCAGGAGGCAGAGCUUGCAGUGAGCUGAGACCGCGCCACUGUACUCCAGUCUGGUGACAGAGCGAGACUCCAUCUCACAAANNNNNNNNNNUUUUUUUUUUUUUUUUUUUUUUUUUUUUUUUUUUUGAGAAGGGGUUUCCCUUUGUCACCAGACUGGAGUACAGUGGCGGGAUCUCAGCUCACUGCAAGCUCCGCCUCCUGGGUUCACGCCAUUCUCCUGCCUCAG